UACAGAGGUCCCAAGCGUUGUUCGGAUUCACUGGGCGUAAAGGGUGCGUAGGUGGUGAGGUAAGUCGGAUGUGAAAUCUCCGAGCUCAACUCGGAAAUGGCAUUGGAGACUGCCUUGCUAGAGGAUCGGAGGGGGGACUGGAAUACUUGGUGUAGCAGUGAAAUGCGUAGAUAUCAAGUGGAACACCAGUGGCGAAGGCGAGUCCCUGGACGAUACCUGACACUGAGGCACGAAAGCUAGGGGAGCAAACAGG
rnacentral:rRNA from 1 species